GGAAUUAUUGGGCGUAAAGCGUCCGCAGGGGGCGCAUCAAGUCUGCUGUUAAAGGUCGGAGCUAAACUCCGGUAGAGCAGUGGAAACUGGUGCGCUAGAGGGCGACAGGGGUAGAGGGAAUUCCCAGUGUAGCGGUGAAAUGCGUAGAGAUUGGGAAGAACACCGGUGGCGAAAGCGCUCUACUGGGUCGCACCUGACCCUCAGGGACGAAAGCUAAGGUAGCGAAAGGGAUUAGAUACCCCUGUAGUCUUAGCCGUAAACGAUGGAUACUAGGCGUGGUUUGUAUCGACCCAAGCCGUGCCGAAGCUAACGCGUUAAGUAUCCCGCCUGGGGAGUACGCACGCAAGUGUGAAACUCAAAGGAAUUGACGGGGGCCCGCACAAGCGGUGGAGGAUGUGGUUUAAUUCGAUGCAACGCGAAGAACCUUACCAGGGCUUGACAUCCCGCGAAGUUUGGGGAAACUCAGACGUGCCUACGGGAACGCGGAGACAGGUGGUGCAUGGCUGUCGUCAGCUCGUGUCGUGAGAUGUUGGGUUAAGUCCCGCAACGAGCGCAACCCUCGUCCUUAGUUGCCAGCAUUAAGUUGGGCACUCUAGGGAGACUGCCGGUGACAAACCGGAGGAAGGUGAGGAUGACGUCAAGUCAGCAUGCCCCUUAUGCUCUGGGCAACACACGUCCUACAAUGGUCGGGACAAAGGGGAGCAAGCUCGCGAGAGUAAGCGAAUCCCAGCAAACUCGGCCUCAGUUCAGAUAGCAGGCUGCAACUCGCCUGCUUAAGGAGGAAUCGCUAGU
rnacentral:rRNA from 1 species